UCAACAGAGAUUCCGCAAGUAGUGGCGAGCGAACGCGGAAAAGCCUGUAUAUGAUAAUGGUUAAGAUAGGAGAAGGAAUUGGAAACUUCCGCCAUAGUGGGUGAUAGCCCCGUAUUUGAAAUCUUAACCAUGGUACUAAGUAUACGAGAAGUAGGGCGGGACACGUGAAAUCCUGUCUGAAUAUGGGGGGACCAUCCUCCAAGGCUAAAUACUCAUCAUCGACCGAUAGUGAACCAGUACCGUGAGGGAAAGGCGAAAAGAACCCCGGAAGGGGAGUGAAAUAGAACCUGAAACCUGAUGCAUACAUACAGUGGGAGCAUCUUUGUGGUGUGACUGCGUACCUUUUGUAUAAUGGGUCAACGACUUACAUUCAG
rnacentral:rRNA from 1 species